rnacentral:rRNA from 1 species
UCUGGUUGAUCCUGCCAGUAGUCAUAUGCUUGUCUCAAAGAUUAAGCCAUGCAUGUGUAAGUAUAAGUAUUAUACGGCGAAACUGCGAAUGGCUCAUUACAUCAGUUAUAAUUUAUUUGAUAAUCGAAAGUUACAUGGAUAACCGUGACAAAUUACAGCUAAUACAUGCACACAGACCUGGUCCAAGGGUCGUAAUUAUUAGUACUAAACCAAUUCCGCAAGGAAUGUGAUGAAUCAUAGUAAUCGAACGAAUCGCAGGUACAUGCGAUAAAUCAUUCAAGUUUCUGCCCUAUCAGCUUUGGAUGGUAGUGUAUUGGACUACCAUGGCAGUCACGGGUAACGGAGAAUUAGGGUUCGAUUCCGGAGAGGGAGCCUGAGAAACGGCUACCACAUCUACGGAAGGCAGCAGGCGCGCAAAUUGCCCAAUCCCGACACGGGGAGGCAGUGACAAGAAAUAACAACUCUAGGAUUUCUUAGAAGUGUAAUGAGGAUAAUUUACAAACCUUACCGAAUGCAAUUGGAGGGCAAGUCUGGUGCCAGCAGCCGCGGUAAUUCCAGCUCCAAUAGCGUAUAUUAAAGUUGUUGCAGUUAAAAAGCUCGUAGUUGAAGUUCUGAUUGUUCGGGUUUCUAGACAUUAGUCGGAGAUACUGACAGUCAUCCGCUUGCAAACAUAUGUUCGAUCUUCACCGGUUGGCUAUGUGAGUAAGCAUUUUACCUUGAGAAAAACAGAGUGUUCCAGGCAGGUUUGUCCGGAAUGCAUUAGCAUGGAAUAAUAGAACAUGACUGAAGUCUAUUUAUUGGUUUAAGGCUUUAGUAAUGAUUAAUAGGAACAGUCGGGGGCAUUCGUACUCAGCAGUCAGAGGUGAAAUUCUAAGAUUUGCUGAAGACGAACUAAUGCGAAAGCAUUUGCCAAGGAUGUUUUCAUUAAUCAAGAACGAAAGUUAGGGGAUCAAAGACGAUCAGAUACCGUCCUAGUCUUAACUAUAAACUAUGCCGACUCGGAUUCAGAUGAAUCAAAAUGUUCAUUUGGGACCGUAGGAGAAAUCAAAGUCUUUGGGUUCUGGGGGGAGUAUGGUCGCAAGGCUGAAACUUAAAGGAAUUGACGG